GACAGAGGUCCCGAGCGUUAGGCGGAAUCACUGGGCUUAAAGCGUGUGUAGACGGAUGCCUAAGUACCUUGUGAAAUCCCACGGCUCACCCGUGGAACUGCUCGGUAUACUGGGUGUCUUGAGCCACUUAGGGGCUACCGGAACAAAUGGUGGAGCGGUGAAAUGCGUAGAUAUCAUUUGGAACGCCAAUGGUGAAAACAGGUAGCUGGGAGUGUGCUGACGCUGAGACACGAAAGCCAGGGGAGCAAACAGG
rnacentral:rRNA from 1 species